rnacentral:lncRNA from 1 species
AGCCCGAGUCGCUAAGAAUUGCACGUGUUCCCUGGCAAGGUUAAGGGAAACCCUCAAACGACCAAGCAGUGAGGGAGGCGAGGUGUUCAGGACCCGAGCCCCGGAUGCUAAAUAAGGACUGAGGUAAAACUAAGGGGGACCGCAUGGCCUGGUGACCCCGCCGCCCCCGAGGCCCUGCCGGGCUCGGUGGGUGCCGUGACAUCAGCUGCCAGACGUUGCGGUCUUAACUGGAAAGAGAAGGCCCGAUUCCCGCUGAUGACCCCAAGGGGAGAGAGCUCCGAGAUCCUCUUUCUAGAAGACAGAACCCCGAAUAAAUGGUUAUGGCUCCAGACAAUAUGCUUGAGUAAGAACAAAGACUGUGCUUCUGCGGAAAUGACCUCAAUGGCUUCGUAAGAAAUUAGUAGGUUAUGGGGACCAAAUUGUCAUCUAGGGUUUUUCAGUUGCACAAUCACAGUUCUCUGGUCAAGAAACUCUCCAGCCUCUGGGGGACGAAGGGAUCCACUUUGAAACCGACUAGUCCUUGGCGGGGGAAGAUGCUUCGCCAGCGUGAAAUGCCCAGAAAUAACGGGAUGUCACCAUCCCAGUGACCACCCAGGAGCCACUGUGCAUUUUACACACUGGAAGGGAGACUCGGCUGACGCCCAACAGGAAGGAAUCACGCUGCUGUCAAAGCUCUUUAAAAAGCUUUUAAGGAUGAAAUGCUCAAUUCGAAAGGAAGUAUCUAUGAUCUAUGUUCCUUAUUAAAAUAAUUUUUUUAUUCAUCUGUUUAGAUCAUUCUCCUUGAAAAAGAUGGAGGUAAUUACUUUUAUUAUUUUUUUAUCUUGCCUUAAAAGUCUAGGAAUUGGAUGCUUAUAGUUUGGAGGUAAAGCUUCUCUGAGAAAAAUAGGACGUUUUGAAUUCUGCUAUCUUGACCUUUGCUAAAAUAAGAAACUAGAAAGCCUACGUCUACCACCAGGCACAAGAUGAGGUCACCAUAUGUCCCCCUGGGCUGUGCGGGGGGUCACAGCCACAGGAUUGGGCAAACCUUAUUAAAUAGCUUUGAUUUUAGAGGCCAUGGUAGCCUGAACAAUGGAGACGCUGACGUAUCUCUGGUCAAGGACCUCUGUCCCCACUUCCUUCUUCUGGACACCUCCCAGUCCCCCCACCCCCACCCUCAUGCUCCCUCCAGUGCCUGGGGAAAAAAAAAAAAUCCCUUCCUUCUCCACCUCUCUCCCUCACCUUGCUCGAAAUGAUGUACCUGAAAGUUGCUAGACGUUCCUAAGUGCUCUCAAAGUGGCCCCCGUCCCUGGAGGCUUCCCGCCGGGACACGAUCGAGGGGUCACCAUCCAGCUAUAACCGGGUGGGGUCAUUUUGCCAUGAAAAUAGCCAUACUCUCUUGUAUUCCUGAAGGGGUGGCACAGGCACCAAAUUGCGCGGACUCGCUCCCCCCCCCCCCCGGGGGGACCCCGUGUUCACAGGUCAUCAACUGUCACAUAAACUGUGUCAUAGAUGUAACCUGUGCGGGCCCAGCAGGAAUCCCAUCUGUCACUUGACAAUGAUGACUACAUCCUCAUUUUUCCCACUCAUGUUCCUUAGCGUAGACUGUCAGAGGUCACGUGUGUUACACGUACCGGCUUUGUGAGGCAAACCCAGGCAAAGACACGUUUCGGCUGAAGUUAUCCGGGAUUAUUGCCUGCAGCGUCUAUGUUGCCAAACAGAAGCAGCAGACUGGUUGGUGAUGCUGCUGACUAAGCGAUGCAUGUUUUCACAUCACCUGUGCCAUCUCUGUUGCACAUGAUACACAAUGAAAGAUCUUGAACAUGCCAAGUGGAGAAAACUGUGGUGCGGAGAAUAAAGUUUGGUUUGUGGAUCCAAGGAUAGGCUUUCCUUAGGCAAACGUUCUGUCUGAUACACAAAUGCUGACUAAAUCCCAUCCUUCCAAAACCAGUGACUCCUUUAUAAAUACUUAGGAAAGAGCUCAACUGAAACUUGCCAAGUCAAACAAAAUAUAUUUACAACGCCAGAAGGGAAUGACCUCCAAGAUUUCUUACAUGGACAAUUUGGAAUAGUAUCUCACCAAAGGAUGAUGUGCCACUUUUUGGUUUUGUUUUGUUUUUCCCCAAAAAACAAAAUGUAAUCCUAUAUCCCAGGAGGGCAAAAAGGAAUGUGUGAGCAUUUGUUCGUGUGGGUUCGAUCAGCGAUUCCUGGGAUGAGAAAGACAGAACAAUGAGCCAACAUCUCCGUUUUCUUGAAAGCAAAGGUCCCCUCAUUAACGAAAUGUAGACUACUGUGUAAACUUCCUUGUAAAUUCUGUACAUAGUUCUGGCUUGUUCCCUGUUGCGUGGUGGUCCUGGGCGUCAGGGGUGUCUGGCCAAUCUGAGCACUGUAAAUAGCGGACGCUUACAAGGCACUUGCUUUCAUCCACGGGGUGAAGCAACUAGCGACUUGGGCCAGCCAGACCCUUCUAGCUCUUGCUCUUUCUCUGCCAUUUUGUGUGUGCAGCUGUGUACGCUGCCAGGUGUCCGUGCCCCCCCCGUUCCCCCCCCCAGGGAAAAAGACAGCAGCCGCCCAGCAGGUGCUCUCCUGUGGGGCCCAGGAACGACCCACCCGCAGAGACGGGGACUGCAGCCACCUGCUCCUGGAACCGUGUCAUGAAAACUAGACGUGCUUUGGUCAGGCAUUCGUGGCUGUGCAUAUAUCAGGAUCCCGAAGAGUCCACGCUGUCGAGGGGUCAGGAACGAAAGACACGUUUGAAAUCCACAGGUCAUCCGAAGCUUCAUUCACACCAGUAGCUUUAGUUUCUAACUUCUUUUUCCUUCCACAACGUUUCCCAGAACGUUUACUAUAAAGAACAGAGGUGAAUGGAUAGGUUUGAUCAGGGUCCACACACAGUCAAAGGGCCCAGUGAGGGGAAGGAGCAAAGGAAGAGACAAGUGACACUGAAAUACCACCUGGCUGGCCCGUCCCUCAAAGAUGCAGAGGUAACUGUGUCGCUGUUUCUAAAUGGGAAAGAGAAGUAUUGGGAAUUAAAGCAAGUGCUUGUCAACUGGGGGCCCGAGAUGUGUUUGUCGUGUGCUAGUUAAACGUAGAAUCCAGUGAUUAAAUAUUUUCACAUAUAUUUCUCCCAAGUCCUGGUAAUUCUUGAAAAAGACUUCAGAGUGGUGGGAUAUUCAGCCGUAAGAUGUAUUUUCUUGCCAGCUGGUAGUCCCAGAGAAGGUGACGGUGUCCGCAGAAAUCCAGAAUAUCUUAGCAAGCUGGGACACCGAUUGGUCUCUAGGUAACAUUCUAGAAGGCACCACGUCUUCCUUGGAGUGAAGCACUUAGCAAGGUAGACCCUUUUUGUGCCAGGAUUUUACGUACCCAGAGAAUCCUUUUGGCUCCCAAACAUGCUAGCUAGUGUCCACUGAUAAUCAAACAAGACAGAUGCCCUGUAGGAACUAACCGGGUCAGUCAGUUUCUAGAUCCAGAAUCCACUGAGCUUUGACUUGGAUCAUGGUCUGUCUACGUAACUGAAACCAACUAAACUGACAGAAGCUUAAUUGCUAAAGGUGGUAACUUCACGAGCAACAUUUGAAGGGAAACCCUUUUUAAUAGAAGUCGUGCAAGCCCCAAAAAUACUAAGUUCCCAGAAGGGUAAGGAUAAAGGGUCUUUGAGUCUGUUCUUACUUCUCUGGCAGCAGGAAUUUCCUUAACUGAGCUGACGAGGUCCAACAGGUGUUCGUUUUGUUUUGCUUUUUUUCAUCCAAAAGUCUUUGGUGCACCAAGGGGCUCCUCACAUCAGUCCUGACUGGCCCCCGGCUGCCUGGCAUAUCCUGAGGCAACCAGCACUCCUCACAGAGAUUUCAGUAGGAAUUGGGUGUGGGGAGAAAACCUCUAUUUUCGAACCAGUUGGAAGGAAAACCAUUUUCAUGUUCGACGCUGCCUGCAUAUCCUGUCCUGAAGAUAACAGAAAAAUAGAUCCGUAAAAGAGAGGCCAAAUAACACGAUGCCUUUGCCUUAGGUACACAGGGUCACAGAUUCACUAGCUUAGAACCGCUCCCCUUAGAAGCCAAAGGAUGAAUAAGAGCCAUCGGUCGGAUUGCCAUCUGGCUUUCACCCCUCCCUGGUUCCCUUUUGAAGAGAAACAGAAAAGGGGGAACGUUUUCCAAUGUGACUUUUUUAUAGGUGAAAAUCGUUAAAAACAUGAUACGUGUGUGCACUGUGCAGGUUUGGCCGUGUAAAGUAGAUUACCUCUCUCGUGUUCAUUCCUUCUCGGAACUGUAUGCCAUCCUGCCUCAUGCCUUAACCCAGUGAAAUCAAUUCAUUUUUUCCUCUUUCUCAUUCCAAACCUCCUGAAUUCUCUUGCCCAAACACAGCUGAAAGCUUCAGCUUCUUUGAACUUACUGUGUCUUCUUCAACUAACAAAAACAAUGAAUUUUAAUAAUCUCCCCAAAUUCCUAUUCCGAUUGCCUUUAAAAGGUCUUGGGAGGUUACUUUGUGUAAUCAUGGUAGCCUCCUCUGCACCGCCGUGGGUUGUUUUUCUUUUCUGCUUUUUCUGUCCUUUAUGUAAAGAGUACAUGUUUACAUAAACCUUGUCUCCUUCAAUGAUUUAAAAUAAAGUGGAAAUAAAAA